CACGUUCAUCGUCCCUGGGUGAGUCGGGUCCUAAGGCGAGGCCGACAGGCGUAGUCGAUUGGAUGAAGGAGUUGAUAUUCUCCUACCAGUGUAUUCUCGACCAUUCCGAGGCUUACUGUACUAACCUCACACUUUCGUGUUUUUCAUCUUUCGGGGUGUUGAGCGUGUUGGUGUUUGGGAUCUUGGUUUGUAGUAGGACAGCACAGGAGUGACGCAUUGGGAUAGCUGACAUGUCAGGUGGUUUUGGCAUGGUAAGCACGCAGCCUGUGGGAUAGGUAAAUCCGUUCCACGUGAGGGUGAGGUGUGAUGCGCGCUGGUUUUAUACUGGUGUUUUGGUGAUUCUUGGUGUCAAGAAAAUCUUCGGUGUGAGAGGAUAUAUCUGCCCGUACCCUAAACCGACACAGGUGGUCAGGUAGAGUAUACCAAAGCGAUCGAGCGAAUCCUGGUCAAGGAACUCGGCAAAUUACUCCCGUGCCUUCGGUAUAAGGGAGACCCUUGAUGGUGAAACUCUUUACGGGUGGAGCUUUUGGGGGUGGCACAGACCAGGGGGUAGCGACUGUUUACCAAAAACACAGGUGCAUGCGAAGACGUAAGUCGCUGUAUAUGCACUGACGCCUGCCCGGUGCCGGAAGGUUAAGAGGAUCCAUUAACCCUUUUGGGGUGAAGUGGUGAAUUUAAGCCCCGGUAAACGGCGGUGGUAACUAUAACCAUCCUAAGGUAGCGAAAUUCCUUGUCGGGUAAGUUCCGACCUGCACGAAUGGCGUAACGACUUCCCCACUGUCUCGACCAGGAGCUCGGUGAAAUUGCAGUACGAGUAAAGAUGCUCGUUAAGCGCAGAAGGACGAAAAGACCCCGGGACCUUUACUAUACCUUGGUAUUGGCAUUCGGUGUGGAUUGUGUAGCAUAGGCGGGAGACUGUGAGGCCAGGGCGCUAGCUUUGGUGGAGUCGUCAAGUGAAAUACCGUUCUGUUUAUAUUGGAUGUCUAACCUCGAACAGUUAUCCUGUUCAGGGACAGUGCCUGGCGGGUAGUUUAACUGGGGCGGUUGCCUCCUAAAGAGUAACGGAGGCGCUCAAAGGUUCCCUCAGCCCGGUUGGUAAUCGGGUGUUGAGUGUAAUUGCACAAGGGAGCUUGACUGUGAGACUGACGGGUCGAGCAGGGACGAAAGUCGGAAAUAGUGAUCCGGUGCCGGCGUACGGACGCGGCAUCGCUCAACGGAUAAAAGGUACCCCGGGGAUAACAGGCUGAUCAUUCCCAAGAGUCCAUAUCGACGGGAUGGUUUGGCACCUCGAUGUCGGCUCGUCGCAUCCUGGGGCUGGAGCAGGUCCCAAGGGUUCGGCUGUUCGCCGAUUAAAGCGGCACGCGAGCUGGGUUCAGAACGUCGUGAGACAGUUUGGUCUCUAUCCUCUGCGCUCGUUGGAAUUUUGAGGAGUCCUGCCCAUAGUACGAGAGGACCUGGGUGGACGAACCUCUGGUAUGCCAGUUGUCACGCCAGUGGCAUGGCUGGUUAGCUACGUUCGGAAGGGAUAACCGCUGAAAGCAUCUAAGCGGGAAGCCCUCUCCAAGAUGAGAAUUCCUGACACUCCUUUGAGGGUGUGUGAGACUCCCGAGAGAUGAUCGGGUUGAUAGGCCGGGUGUGGAAGCGUGGUAACACGUGGAGCUGACUGGUACUAAUAGUCGAAGACAAUAACAC
rnacentral:rRNA from 2 species